rnacentral:siRNA from 1 species
UCUGAAUUCGCCUGGCCACAA